UACGUAGGUGGCAAGCGUUGUCCGGAUUUACUGGGCGUAAAGAGCGCGCAGGCGGUCGAUUUAGUCGCGUGUGAAAGCCCCCGGCUCAACUGGGGAGGGUCACGCGAUACUGAUCGACUCGAAGGCAGGAGAGGGUAGUGGAAUUCCCCGGUGUAGUGGUGAAAUGCGUAGAUAUCGGGAGGAACACCAGUGGCGAAGGCGACUACCUGGCCUGUUCUUGACGCUGGGGCGCGAAAGCGUGGGGAGCAAACAGG
rnacentral:rRNA from 1 species